UACGUAGGUGGCAAGCGUUGUCCGGAUUUACUGGGCGUAAAGAGCGCGCAGGCGGUCGUGCAAGUCGCGUGUGAAAGCCCCCGGCUCAACUGGGGAGGGUCACGCGAUACUGCUCGACUCGAAGGCAGGAGAGGGAAGUGGAAUUCCCGGUGUAGUGGUGAAAUGCGUAGAUAUCGGGAGGAACACCAGUGGCGAAGGCGACUUCCUGACCUGUUCUUGACGCUGAGGCGCGAAAGCUAGGGUAGCAAACGGG
rnacentral:rRNA from 1 species